GACGGGGGGGCAAGUGUUCUUCGGAUGACUGGGCGAAAGGGCACGUAGGCGGUGAAUCGGGUUGAAAGUGAAAGUCGCCAAAAAGUGGCGGAAUGCUCUCGAAACCAAUUCACUUGAGUGAGACAGAGGAGAGUGGAAUUUCGUGUGUAGGGGUGAAAUCCGUAGAUCUACGAAGGAACGCCAAAAGCGAAGGCAGCUCUCUGGGUCCCUAC
rnacentral:rRNA from 1 species